AUGUCAAGACCGCUUUCCUUAAUGGGAAGUUGGCUGAGGAUGUUUACAUGGCUCAGCCAGAGGGUUUUGUCGAUCCGAAGCAUCCCAAUAGAGUGUGCAAGCUUGAGAAGUCCAUUUAUGGACUUAAGCAAGCAUCUCGCAAAUGGAAUCUUUGCUUUGAUGAGAAAGUCAAAGAGUUUGGAUUUGUACGAAGUGAAGAUGAAUCAUGUGUAUAUGUCAAGGCCAGUGGGAGUAUAGUUAGCUUCCUCGUUUUGUAUGUCGAUGACAUACUGCUCAUAGGAAACGACAUCCCGACUCUGCAGGAGGUUAAGUCCUGGCUCGGGAAGUGCUUCACUAUGAAGGACCUUGGAGAGGCUUCCUAUAUUUUGGGAAUAAGGAUAGUAAGAGAACGAAGUAAGAGACUAAUAUGACUUAGUCAGAAUACUUACUUGGAUAAGGUACUAAAACGUUUUAGUAUGGAAAACUCGAAGAAGGGAGAACUACCGAUACAGAGUAAUGCCAAAUUGAGUAAGACUCAAAGUACGAGUACAAAAGCCGAGAUAGCUGAGAUGAGCCGAGUACCUUAAGCUUCCGUAGUUGGCUCAAUCAUGUAUGCUAUGACUUGUACUCGCCCUGAUGUGACCUUUGCUUUGAGCAUGGUCAGUAGAUAUCAUGGGAACCCUGGGAGAGCUCAUUGGAUUGCGGUCAAGAAUAUCCUUAAGUACCUUCGGAGGACGAAGGAAUGGUUCUUAGUCCUCGGAGGGAGUGAUGACUUGAAGGUGCGAGGGUAUAGUGACGCCAGCUUUCAGACCGACAGGGACAACUACCNAGCUCAUUGGAUUGCGGUCAAGAAUAUCCUUAAGUACCUUCGGAGGACCAAGGAAUGGUUCUUAGUCC
rnacentral:lncRNA from 1 species